AGUGAACGCUGGCGGUAGGCCUAACACAUGCAAGUCGAACGGCAGCACAGUAAGAGCUUGCUCUUACGGGUGGCGAGUGGCGGACGGGUGAGGAAUACAUCGGAAUCUACUUUUUCGUGGGGGAUAACGUAGGGAAACUUACGCUAAUACCGCAUACGACCUACGGGUGAAAGCAGGGGAUCUUCGGACCUUGCGCGAUUGAAUGAGCCGAUGUCGGAUUAGCUAGUUGGCGGGGUAAAGGCCCACCAUGGCGACGAUCCGUAGCUGGUCUGAGAGGAUGAUCAGCCACACUGGAACUGAGACACGGUCCAGACUCCUACGGGAGGCAGCAGUGGGGAAUAUUGGACAAUGGGCGCAAGCCUGAUCCAGCCAUACCGCGUGGGUGAAGAAGGCCUUCGGGUUGUAAAGCCCUUUUGUUGGGAAAGAAAGGCAGCAGGUUAAUACCCCGCUGUUCUGACGGUACCCAAAGAAUAAGCACCGGCUAACUUCGUG
rnacentral:rRNA from 1 species